UACGGAGGAUCCAAGCGUUAUCCGGAUUUAUUGGGUUUAAAGGGUGCGUAGGCGGUUUGAUAAGUUAGAGGUGAAAUACCGGUGCUCAACACCGGAACUGCCUCUAAUACUGUUGGACUAGAGAAUAGUUGCGGUAGGCGGAAUGUAUGGUGUAGCGGUGAAAUGCUUAGAGAUCAUACAGAACACCGAUUGCGAAGGCAGCAUACCGGCGCCCAACUGACGCUGAAGCACGAAAGCGUGGGUAUCGAACAGG
rnacentral:rRNA from 1 species